rnacentral:piRNA from 1 species
UCAAGGAAGUAGGGAUGGCCAAGUUCCCACAG